rnacentral:rRNA from 1 species
ACGACGCUGGCGGCAGGCUUACACAUGCAAGUCUAGCGCCCCGCAAGGGGAGCGGCAGACGGGAGAGUAACACGUGGGAACAUACCUUUUGGUUCGGAACAACUGAGGGAAACUUCAGCUAAUACCGGAUAAGCCCUUACGGGGAAAGAUUUAUCGCCGAAAGAUUGGCCCGCGUCUGAUUAGCUAGUUGGUGAGGUAACGGCUCACCAAGGCGACGAUCAGUAGCUGGUCUGAGAGGAUGAUCAGCCUCAUUGGGACUGAGACACGGCCCAAACUCCUACGGGAGGCAGCAGUGGGGAAUAUUGGACAAUGGGCGCAAGCCUGAUCCAGCCAUGCCGCGUGAGUGAUGAAGGCCUUAGGGUUGUAAAGCUCUUUUGCCCGGGAAGAUAAUGACGGUACCGGGAGAAUAAGCCCCGGCUAACUUCGUGCCAGCAGCCGCGGUAAU